rnacentral:rRNA from 2 species
CAUGGCGGCCGCGGGAAUUCGAUUAUCGUAUUACCGCGGCUGCUGGCACGUAGUUAGCCGUGACUUUCUAAUUGAUUACCGUCAAACAAAGGUCAGUUACUACCCCUGUCCUUCUUCACCAACAACAGAGCUUUACGAGCCGAAACCCUUCUUCACUCACGCGGCGUUGCUCCAUCAGACUUGCGUCCAUUGUGGAAGAUUCCCUACUGCUGCCUCCCGUAGGAGUUUGGGCCGUGUCUCAGUCCCAAUGUGGCCGAUCAGUCUCUCAACUCGGCUAUGCAUCAUCGCCUUGGUAAGCCGUUACCUUACCAACUAGCUAAUGCAUCGCAGGUCCAUCCUUUAGCGACAGCUUACGCCGCCUUUUAAACUUCUUUCAUACGAAAGUAGCUUUUAUCCGGUAUUAGCACCUGUUUCCAAUCACUAGUGAAUUCGCGGCCGCCUGCAGGUCGACCAUAUGGGAGAGCUCCCAACGCGU